rnacentral:rRNA from 1 species
GGGUCAGUAGGUUGGUCGUGCCACCGGUACGUACUGGUCUCACUGAUUCCUCCUUCCUGAAGAACCGUAAUGCCAUUAAUUUGGUGUUGCGGGCAAACAGGACUGUUACUUUGAAAAAAUUAGAGUGUUUAAAGCAAGCUAACGCUUGAAUACAUUAGCAUGGAAUAAUGAAAUAGGACGAUCGAUCCUAUUUUGUUGGUUUCUAGGAUUGACGUA